AGGGAUCUGAAACUGCCACCACAAUGUCAUCAUCAUCAAUCUGACAAAAAACGAUAGAGAUCAUCUUCACCAUCAUCAUCAAGCUUGUUGUUGUUUGUUGCGUUCGCAAGCGCUUGGGCUGCUGGUUCCGUGGCGGCAGGCUUUAAAUGUGUACGUGUACUAAGUAAUUUCUGACGCCGUAAUGUCUAAGAAAAAAAUGACGGCAGACCAUGGUCUUAUGGCAAGAGCAGCCGCUCUGGAGCAAGAGCUGCAGAAACUACGACAAGCGCCCGCGCCGAUACCAUUGGACGCCGAUUAUGACAGCCGAUUUUUGAUGGUGCACCGGGAACUGAGCGCGGGCAGAGUUCCCAACGCCAUUCCAAAAGCGCUGCUGAGAGACAAGCUCCUGCAGAGUUUGAGAAACGAACAGGAAAGCCUGGGGCGCAAUCUCGCUUACUACACCGACCGUGUUAAAGCGGCCGAGGAGGAGAUCGCCGACUUGGAGGACCACAAUAAAGCUGUUGCCGGUGCGAAGAACGGAGCGUCGCCCGUACCGAAUGACUACCGCACCGUGAAAGCGCUGAUCAGCAUGCGAAAAAAGCAAAUCUCCAAGUACCUCCACUACUUCUACCCGGAGCCACAUCAGAUUGUACACACCGCUGCGCACAACUAUCUCGCGCUGAACGAGAUUUUCGACAGGCUACUGGAUGCCAGCACCAACCCACCAGAGGCACGAUACAUCAGACUGGGCCCGGAGUUUUGGCCGCCGCAUGUACAAGUGCUUCUGAAUAUGAACUUGGUAGAGCGAGACCCUGACAGGAGUGACCAUAUCAGGCUGCAGGACUGUGGCUGAGCUUCGUUGCUAAAAGUGAAGUCACCGCAAAAAUGUUAUCGGCUUUCUAAUCCUUUGUGUCGUCAGUGUGGGAUAAUGACGCAUGCCUCAGUGGAAAUAUUAGAUGUGCUUCUUGAAAAGAAGCAUCAUGUAGGCAGUGGCUGUGAGUAUUACAAGAUUUCUUUUAGUGCCAGUUACCUUCAUCAUAGCAUAACAGAAAACCAUCAUGUUGUCAAUAGAAUUCAUUUGCUGACACUGUUGCUGAAACUUGCUUACCUAGCUUCCAGCUAAAGCGGUUGCUCAUCACACAAUCUGUCCGCUGUGUGAUGUUCUUGUGUGAUAGUUCACAAAGCUUUCACUACUUCCAAGGUUGUUGAACAUUAAAGGGGCUCUUGAACACUUUUCUAACUAAUCGUAGAUGGCCUCGCUAUUUGAGUACGUCGUCCAGUGAACCUCAUGCUGCAAAAAUUGUACUAGAAGUGGAGUUAUCGCACUGAUGCCCGGCUUUCUCUCUCAUUUUGUCUCUGCUAGCGCGCUGGAAUAUACACAGCGGAGAAGCCAAGAGGGCAGAGCCCCUGUUAAAGUUGUGUGUCGUGGCAGUGAAAGGACGUCACGACACCCUGUGGCAAGCAUGGUGGACUACGCUACGCAGCUACGCGCAGUGCAAAUAUGAAAUUAUUUUUCUGUAUUUUUGAGACCGCAGACAUUUAUUUUUCAUUUAUUUAACUCAAAAUUAGCAAUUAUGUAUUACUGAGAACGUUCUCGCGAUCACGAAAUCGGCCAGUAGCAUUGGUGGGCCAACUCCUUUCAAUAGCGACAUUGUGGAUGCAAGUUCAAGCAACUGUUCACUGCUUUUUACACGAUAUUGUAAAUUCCCUGCUGUAUGCAGUGCAAUAUUAUUCAUUUCACAUGUUCACAGGAGCCUCGUUAACAGAUCGGCAACAUUCUAUUUUACUCCGUUGAAAAAGUGCUUCAGGGACGCUUUAAACGAAACUUUAACUGAAACUAACACCUGCCUCAUUGACUUAUGGAAGAGGAAAAGUCCAACGAAGCGGAACCCAUCGUUAUGUGAACUCCUGUUAAAUGAAACUUUAGCCGAAACUUACACCUACCUCAUCAGCUUAUGGAGCAGGAAAAGCCUGACAAACAUGUCAAAUGGUGAUACUAAAAAUAGUGAAGAAAAUACAAUUCAUCCAGGCAGUUGCUGGAAGAUAAUGCAAAUUAAAUUAUAAAUGUAGAAGUUGCAACAGUGUUACCAUUAUGCGUACUUUGCUAGGCAAGUAGUAAUCCCAGAGGAGGAAGAAAGCACUACGGAGUAGGAAGGAUCUUGCAGUCAGGCUGCCACUACUGCUUCGUUCACAUCACCAGGAAUAAGAAACUAAAUCAUGCCCUCAUUACAUUGCCUGCUCUGAGGACAGCUGAAAGCAUUGUUCGUAAGGUGAGUGGCAAGGACUAUGGUCACUGUUGCAAUUUUAGCAAUUUUGUUGCUUGAUUUAGCAACUUUCUUGUCCGUUUAGCGACAAUCUUUUUCAGUUUAGCGACCAGCGACUUUGUUUAGCGACAUGACUGAACAAUUGAAGAAAUUUUAGUGACUAGAUUUUUUAGAGCUAGGAAGGUUGCUUGGAAAGUGGCCUUCUAAAACACACUUUAUUAUUGAAAAGCUACAUGUAAGCAGCCGAAACUAGCUGUACAAUGCAUAGGCUCUUUGACCAUGAUGAAGCAACAGUUGCCUUCACAUUGGUAGUCUUCACAUUGUGCUUGUGCUUUACAGCACAGUGGUCAUCACAGACUUCACAUUGUGCUCACAAAAUUGGUGUCUUCUUUUAUUCCUCACAAACUCGAUUGGAAUGGGUCUGAAUGCUGUGGGUUAAUUGUGCAGUACUGCUAAAUGCUUCCGAUUAGUGGACGUCCGUAAGUGUAGCAGUAAAUUAAUUCUGCAAGUGCCUAUUGCAACAAAUUUCAUUAAGAUUUAGAACACAGCAGGUGAAUAGGACAUUUCGACUGUAUAGAAAGGUGUAUAGAGUGGCUAAGCUUCACCUGAAUCUGAACACGUUGCUUUCAUUUCUCACGGUUUUUGCACCAAUCGGCACUUCACGGUGGCAUUCAGGUAGAUCUUUUACCUCUACAAUGGUCACGUGAUUGUCAUUGAUGUGUUAAUAACGUGUGGCCAAGCGGGUGCCACAGAAUUUACUUCUCUUAUCACGAACAUCGAGUAAUAGAAAAUUUGAGGGACAGCAUGGACCAAGUGCCUUUUCAUGCUAGGAAAGUCAGGUUACUUGUGUUUUUUUGUAUCGUGCUGUAUUUGUAACCUUGCAACCUGAAGGAUAACGCAGAAUUUAAACUGUCAUAAUCCAUUAUGUAAAUAUGUUAGUAAAGUAGGCGUCCUCUACACCCUGCAGGUAAGCUUACUGUUUAUCCAUCAACUGCAUGAACACUAGACAAACAUGAAAUGUCUAUAGGUUCAGAUGAUUUACUUCACGUUAGCUUAUAUAAUUUAUGUUCUACAAUGCCCACAUUAUUUAAAAUUCACUCGACAGUUUUAGCGACAAUUUUAGCGAACUUGUAGCAAAAUUUAGUGGAAAUUUAGCAUACUUUUUCUCGUUUUAGUAACGUGUAAAACAAAGUUUAUGCAAUACUGACUGUGAUUCUAUUGACAAGGACACAUCUAUGACUGUUCCAGUGCGUGUUGCUGUUUUGGACCAGAUGGUAAAGAUGCAGUGGAUAGAUCUUGUAGUGGAGAAGGAUACUACAGUGGCCAUACUAUAGUUUCCUACUGAAAUUACUGCAGGGAACCCUGGUGCUGUGAUGGUUCAGCUACCGUGGGAAUGAUGGAUUUGUCUGAUCUUCAUGCUUGCAACUUUAUUUGUUGUGCUAUAUUGGCAUAAAUUUCGAAGCAAUCCUAUAUUUCUGAACCCAGAAGGCAACUAGACUCUGCACACAUGCACAAUUAUUGCAUAAUGUUGAAUCUGUACAUCAAUACCUUGGUGAAAAUGGACAAUUUGCCAAGUCGCAAAGCUGUUUGAAGCUAGAACAACGAAGUUUGUGCAAAUCCAUGUACUAACCAUCAUUCCCAGCUCCCAUAGACGAUUAGUGCUAGAGUUCGCUCUAGAAAAUCUUACAGGGAACUCUCUGACAGUUUCCGAGCUGCAAUGGAGAGCUCCAUCACACAAUCUCAGGGUUACGUCAGUACAAAACCUCAGCUCAGUAAUAGAUGGAAGCACGAUGAGCAUUUUUGAGUGCAGGAAGAACAAUGUAAAAAGGAGGGGAAGGCUGCAAUGGGCAUGGCAGUGGCAGCAUUUGAUUGCCAAAAAGUCUUGAUACAAAGUGCAUUCAAAAGCUUUUGUUAGGGGGGAGUGCUCUUUAAUACCGCAUUCCACACUUCUCAUAAAAGGUGUCAUCUGUUGAAAAUUGUUCCCAUCGCCAAGCAGGGAUGGUGCUACAGGGAGACAAGGGAUGGCGUGUAUGUGUACGUGCGUGUGUGUUAGAAUUUGUGCUGCGUGUGUGUGUGUUAGAAUACUGACACGCAGUGGUGGUUUUAUUUAAUAAAUCAGAUGCUGGUUCGAUGUUUUCAGCCUAGUGACUGUGUUGAAGCAUCCUGGGCUGUUCAUGUGAAAGCGCAAGGUGGUGUCUUGGCACAGAAUGCUUGCAUGUGUGUCUUCCUGACAUGCCGCAUGAUAAUAUAUGUUCAGUUACAUCUACGUUGCAAAAUACAGUCAGUGAUGGAAGCCGCUUUUCGUGUUUUGGAGCAGAAAAAAUAGCAGUGCGGAGCAAAAAUAAACAUAGUUCGGAACAGUGACUCAUUACUCACGUGCAUGUAGCAAACUGCGCAUGCAUUUACUAUGACCCAAAUAAAUCUAUGUAUUUAAAAAAAUAUUUGCAUCUAUUAGUGCUCACAUAUUGGAAUGGUUCAAUUUAGUAAAGAACAGAAAAUGAACACAUGUAGCAAAUUCUCAAGAUAUGCAGAACAGUUUUCUUUUACACGUGAUAACAGUAUCACAGAGAAAUAUGAUUUAAUGUCACAAUAAAUAUAUCAUCAGCUUAGAAAAUGAAACAUUUAGCAUGAAACGAUUUAAUAUCACAGUGAAAUGUAUGAGCAAGCCAAUAAAUUGAAAUCAGUCCUUGUGGGCUGCACUAUAUUUUCUUUUGAUUCUUCAAGCUUAUGAAGGCUGCUUGCAAGUUUUGCCUGCCCCUGCUUCAGAAAUGAUUGUCCAAUUUCAAUAUAGUCAAACUUUUUGGCCUUUAUCCCAUUUGCAAUGAGCAGUUCAGCAUUAGCAAGCAUCUUCUUAGCAGAAUCAGUCACCAUAUGUAUAUUUCGCAGCUCAUUCGUUUUUGUUUCUAGUGGGUCUUGGGGAAGCUUGGCUUUCUUAGCUGCAGGCCCACUUUCUGCAGACACAUGCUCCUGGUACCUUUUGAAUGAGCUCUUAUAGCCUAAAUCAUGACAGGCUUCACAAGAAUGGUUGAAGCAUCUUGGCCAUAGUGAUUACAGAAUGGUCUGGUUUUACACAAGCCAGUUUAGGUUUGCGAUUGAGAGCUUGCUCCGUUUAUGAAGGAGGCAGCGAUUUUUGCUGAAUCCCUUUGCAACAUCAAAAUUGCCAUUAGCAAGAGACAGCAGGGCUUUAAUGAACUUCAUUUUUUAGGGGUACUUGGGACUACUUUCUUUUGACAUAACGGUGAAUACGUGUUGCCAAGCAUCAUCGAGCCACUCAUGUAGAUUACAGGACAAUUCUUCCGUGGAGAUUAGUGUUAUUUCAUCCAUCAGUGCUGAGACUUUCUGUGGUGGUACCACUUGAGGCACUUGUUGCACUAAAUUCCUGAGUCCUGCAAUGGAGCUCUCCUUCUUAACAGAACUUGGGUGAAGGUGCUUGAGAUCUUUCAGCACAUGAUUGUUAAAGGGCAACCUUGAAAGCAGAUAACAUGCGACCUUGAUGUAAAAGCUACGUGCGCCUAAUCUGAAAAUCUUCUCCUGAGGCGUCCAAGCAGAAAUGGAGCUUUCUGUAUCAGCUCAAAUCUCGAAUAGCUGUUUCCAGUUGGCAGAACAUUUCACAUCAAGGGAUAGUUCUUUUCAAGUGAAGUUCCUCUAUGCACCAUUCUGCAUAAGACGUCCAAGAAUUAUUUUCACUGGCAUGGUCAUUUCUUCAAACAAAAUAUAAAGCAGCAGCUAACUUCGCUGCAAUGACAAGCAUUCAGCAAAAAUGUCAGCCACAUUUCGCAGAAAGAUUGCUUUAGGCAGCAGUACCUUCCUCAUAAGGUUCUCCUUGAGGGACCUAUAAAUGAUGCCACCAGGUCGAGCUUUUUCUUCAGCAUCUAGAACCGUUGCCUUGAUUGCUUCGUGUUGUUCAAUGAGUCGCCCCAGAGCUGAACUCAUUGUCAACCAUCAAUUCACGUGACGCAAAAGAAGAUUUUCAGGCAAGCCUAAGCAUUUCGAGUUGUUUUCAGGGCAGCCCUCUGAACAGCUGAAUUCGUGUAAAAUUGAUAGAUAUCAAGCAAAGUUGACUCCACAAUGUUGCAAAAUGCUUCUAUGCCUUUGGCAAAUGCGUUUUGCACUUGGCACAAAUUGUGUUCACUCAUAUCCAGCAAGGUGCGAUUUAUGCCCUCUUUUAAAUGUUCCUUCAAACUCCACAUGACGUUGGGCCCAUCACUGUAAAAGCAAAGCAUGUUUCUUUGAGGCAAAUCUUGAAUAGCUUUUUUAGAAUGUACCAGCAGGAUAUCUGCUAUGCAGAGCCCAAGUGAAACGAGUGCAGAUGCUCAACUACAUCACGUUUUUGUGCAUAGAAAAAGUAUCUGACAAUGACAUCCAGCUGUUGGCAGCUUUGUUCUAGGAGGGGUGUUUCAUCUAUUAAAAUCGUGUAACAUAUGUGUGUGGCUUGUUACUUUCGUCUAUCACUUCUUUCCUAAAGUAGGGUCUUAAGCCAUCUGAAAUGAUGUAAGAAAGCUUCUUUCGCCCACACUGGAACUCUUUGGCGACUUUAGAGUCCGGGAACAUCAACGGCAUGAUCUGUGUGGCUGCGUUCCCGUAAGGUAUCUGACAUGGCAAGUCACAGAGCAGAAUGCGCCUCCGCUCGAGCAGCACGGUCCGCCUCAGAGUCCCGGACCAGAUGAGAAACACGACUCCAGUUGACCUUGCUUUGUAGCAAGGGGACAUAUUCUGCAACAAUCCACUUCGGCGAUACUAUCGCCUUGGCUGGCCAUCAGGUGCGCUACGUCAUCCAGUUUAGCUCAACCAGCCAAUCAGCACGCGCCUGACGGCGAUACUAUCGCCGAGGCAACACUGUCGCAGUACGGCCGCAGGCUUAAUAUCUCAGAUGAAUCCCUCUGUUGACUGCAGACUGUUGACUGCGUUUAUUCAUAGCGUGAUACUUCACAGCUGUUAUGCCGUGCUGUGAGCAGUUGAUGACUGUUGCAGAAGAUGCACAAGACUCCUUUUGAUUCCUUCUCUGCACCAACUAGAGAUGGUGUCAUCGUUGGCAUCAGUCUCGCCGAGAACUUGUACGUUAAAUUUGCUGUGACGACUUAAAAAAAAAAGGCUUACCCAGAUUAUGCAAGCUGAUAACUCAACCUCAAAGAGAUCUCUUGGCUUUAACACAUUAAUACCUAGGCAACAAUCACUAUUCAAACAAAGAUGCAUACUAUACUAAUAAGAUGACCUACUGUUAAAACCUUGUUAGUCGGAUUCCUGUUAAUUGAGAAAAUCAUACUCGCCGUCUGGUACAGGCAAUAUAAGCAGUAUUCUAGUGUAAAACUCGUGCUAUUUCGACGGCGUUUUGGUCAGUUCGGACCUCCCAGAGUGCGGCCCCAAAUUCGAGAAGAUGGUGGCGAAGAAACUAGGAAAUAACGGUGCGCGCAUCCAGACAGAGCGAACUGAUGUUUUUCCACCUCUUUCUCAGUUUUCACUUCCGCAACACUCGCACGGCGUGCCCGGAGCAUUCAAAGGACGUGCUAUGGGAGCGGGGCUUUCGUUCAGAGCAGUAGCGCUUCAGAAAAGGACGUUGAAAACAGCAACAAAAAAGUAAAAAUGCACGCAAUAUUCCAAGCUGCUUCCUAGAACUGACGUUGCUUUCGUUGGCUUUAUCAGGCGUAUAAUCGGAAGCUCGCACUAAGUUGUCAAACGCGUCCUUCAGCCGUUGCAGGCGAGCGUAUAUGCAAAUUGUCAUCAAAGUAAGAAAAUGAACAGUAAAUAGGAAAAGAUUGGCGAGCUUUAGACAAAUAGACUGGCCCAGGCUUGCGUAUCAUAUGUUUGGAUUUCCACGUGCUAUCCAUGCCUGGGCAGGAAUGAAACAACAGGCACCCGUGACGACACAUAUUAAAGGCUUACCUUUAAGCUGUGAAAGGGCCAUAGCGGUUCAAAGCCAGACAUUCAGGAGCCUGCACAAGUCGGUGAACUCAUGCGCUUCAGUGUCAUUGCGAACUUGGGACACUCCGAUGUGACCACAAAGAAGUCGAGCAUGCCGCUUGGCUUGGCGGCACGGAUACCAUACCCAGAGUUUCAGUUUCGGAACUAUUACAAUUCCGCCUGUUGUGUGGACAGGGGAGGUUUAGGCCAUUCAUGUGCGCCUUGGCGCAGGUGUAGAACAAUUUAUGCGAAAAGCAGUCAUUUGGUGCAGCAUGUAUCGGCAUUUCUAUCUCGUCGCAAAAUGGAGCAAUUGGCACAGCACUUCCAUCACUACAGAGUUGACGAUUACCACUCAUAUGUUUUGCUUUGCAUACAGUUCGCGUGCUGUCACUUUGAGAAAUGUCUCGGAACACCAUGAUUCACUGAAAGGUAUUGCAGAGACCUCAAAACAAGAAAAAAAAAAGGUGCAACAAGCAAGUGUCUCAGCUCAUUUUUGUUGUCGUCACAUUGCAGGUGCAAGAUUGUCGUUGAUCAAAAGUGCAUAGCUUUAAGUGCGUGGCAUAAUUGUCGCAAUGCUCACCCCAGAUUACAUUUAGGACCGAGAAGCUCAUGUUAAACUCGGCAAACAAUAAUGGAGAUGUGUCACGUGACGCGAUGUGUCAAUAAAUCGAAGCAAUCACUUCAUCAACGUGAUAAAACAAAUUGCCUUUAACUAAAACGGUCCCUUCACUCAAGCAGCUUAACAUGCACUGAAAACAGUUACGGGGGCAAUAAGCUUUUUUUUCUGCAAUAAUUAAAUGCAAAGUUUGAGCUGCUAUUGUCAGCCAACUGUUAUGCAUGUGGUGCCUCAGUACGCAAUGAAUAAAAUUGACAUUGCGAAGAUAUCGCGACAACUACACUACUAGUAAUAAUCUUGGCAGAUGUGCCGUCUUGACAGUCGUAUAUUCCAUGCUACCAACCUCGAAGUUGCUGAGACGCACCGACAUUCAUUAGUAGUUGCAGGCACAUUCACAUGCAAAACAACUUUCACAGUUAGGGUAUGGAACCCACUCUUUGGCAACUUUUGAUGUUCAGUAAUGAGUUAACGACUUCAACGGGGACAGCAUUCAAUGACCUACUCAAACUGCAUGUGUGACACUAGAGUGAAGAUAAUAAAGCGAGAGAGACAGAGUAGCAUUGAAGGAAUAAAUUUAUGUA